GAUCAUGGCUCAGGAUGAACGCUAGCAGCAGGCUAACACAUGCAAGUCGAGGGGCAGCGGGAUGUAGCAAUACAUUGCCGGCGACCGGCGGAUGGGUGCGUAACGCGUAUGCAACCUACCUUAUACAGGGGAAUAACCUUUCGAAAGGGAGACUAACACCCCAUAGUAUUGAUUUAAGGCAUCUUAGAUUAAUUAAAUAUUUAUAGGUAUAAGAUGGGCAUGCGUAUGAUUAGCUAGUUGGUAAGGUAACGGCUUACCAAGGCGACGAUCAUUAGGGGUUCUGAGAGGAAGGUCCCCCACACUGGUACUGAGACACGGACCAGACUCCUACGGGAGGCAGCAGUGAGGAAUAUUGGUCAAUGGGCGCAAGCCUGAACCAGCCAUGCCGCGUGCAAGAAGACGGCCUUAUGGGUUGUAAACUGCUUUUACAUAAGACUAACCGUAUAUUUGCGAAUAUACCUGAAUGUAUUAUGAGAAUAAGGAUCGGCUAACUCCGUGCCAGCAGCCGC
rnacentral:rRNA from 1 species